GGAAUCGCGAUUGGCGAAUAGGGAUUUCUACUGCACUUGUGGGCCUUAGUUUUCAUAUGAUUGUAUAUUCGAUGUGUGUCGAUGUGGAAUAUAUAUUCGAACUACCGGCUAAAGCAUUGUAUUUACAUAUUGACGCAGGUGCGCCGACGAACAUAACUCAGGCCUCCCCUGUUUCGCUGUUGGUUACAUAGGUGAGGAGCAAUCCUUAUUGAGUGAGAAGUAUUUAGGCUAGAUGUCUUCGAAUAUUUGUGAGUACAGUAAACCAUUGUUAUUAUUUUGAUUGUCAUGUGUUUUGGUCGGCCAACGUUUGCUGUGAUUGUCAUGUGUUUUGCUUUACAAUAGUAUGCCAUGUGAGGAUAUUUGAUAAUUAGAUGAAUACAUCCUGAAAAUCAGCCACAAACAUUUCAAGAUCAGAUUGUGAAAAUUGAUAUAUGUUCUAUUUGAACUUCAGCCAUAAAGAAUGCAAUUUCAGAUUAUGAUAGUUGAUAUAUCUUCUAUUUGAAAUUCAUCCAAUUCUUACAAAUUUCAGAUUAGGGAAUUUGACAGUAACCAUGCUCCCUCGACACCGCAUAAACGCGCAUGUGUAUUCAAUGGUUGAAGAGAUUAUGCAUCAACUAUUAUUGCAACUCAUUGUUGUAUUCGAUCACUUAGACAGUAUUAGGUCGAGGAAAAGAAAACGAUGUUUAGGACCCCGUGCCUUAUGCUAUACUGACUCGUAUCCCCGAUCAAGUUAAGCACAUGAAUAGGCUAGUUGAUGUUACUGAUGUUGACUGUAUUGUAAAUUUACGCAUGGAUCGCAUACAUUUUGGCGUCUUUGCCAACUGUUGAGGGAAUUGGGAUGGCAGGUUCGUAUAUGUUGAGGAGCAGGUUGCUAUGUUCCUCUCCGUACUCGCACACUAUAAAAAGAACAGGGUCGUCCAGUUUGAUUUUUGGAGAUCGGGGUAUACCAUCUCCAAGUACAUUCAUGUGGUCCUUAAGGCUAUCACUUCAUAUAUUGCUAUUCGUUAGACCACAACCUGUCACGGACGAUUGCGUUGACAACUGGUGGAGAUGAUUUAAGGGUUGCUUGGGAGCUUUAGAUGGUACAUACAUCGACGUGAAGGUACCUAACAAAGAUAGACCACGUUAUAGGACACGGAAGGGUCAUAUUUCCACCAACAUAUUGGCCGUUUGUGAUCACAACCUCAAGUUUGUGUAUGUCCUCCCCGGUUGAGAGGGCUCGGCAGCGGACUCACGUAUUCUACACAAUGCACUAAAUAAGCCUCACGGGCUGCGUGUGCCAAAGGGAAAUUUCUAUCUGUGUGAUAAUGGAUACGCCAAUUGCGAGGGCUUCCUUGCACCGAACAAGGGGAUUCGCUACCACUUGAAGGAGUGGGGCCCGAUGGCAGCACGACCACAGAACUCUCGGGAACUAUUCAACUUAAUGCGCAAAGGCUCGCAAUACCGUUAAACGUGCCUUUGGAGUCAUGAAGAUGAGAUGAGGUAUUUUGCAUAGUGCAUCGUACUAUCCAAUUAAGAUACAGACUAGACUAAUCAUGGCGUGCUUCGUCUUAAACAACUUUAUUCGGGAAGAGAUGCCUGUAGAUCCGAUCGAACAACAAUUCGACAAUAUGUUCCCCGAUACAACUGAACUUGAGUCAGAUCACAGGGAGUUUGUUGAGAGUGUUGAGCCUUCUCUCGAGUGGACUGCAGCUAGGGACGAACUCGCACUUUCAAUGUGGCAGCAAUAUAUGGCUAGUUAACAAUGCGUUGGUUAUUGUAAGCCUGACCAUGAGAGUCACCUGUUUUUUCUGUUAUUAGGAUUUGUAAAACCAAUGUCUUGAUUCAAAUAUUUAUGUGUGUUCAUGGGAUCUUGUACGACUGGAAUGUUUUUAAGAUUGGUGUUUCUCUGCUAAAUGUGCUUGGAUUGCUUGUUUGCUAUGGAA